UUGUAACUGAUACGGGGAAUUAGGGUUCGGUUCCGGAGAGGGAGCCUUAAAAACGGCUACCAGGACUAAGGUCUGCAGCAGGCGCGCAAAUUACCCAAUCCUAAUACAGGGAGGUAGUGACGAAUAAUAACAAUGCAGAAGUCCUUUGGGCUUUUGCAAUUGGAAUGAGAACAAUCUAAAAACUUUAACGAGUAUCAAUUGGAGGGCAAGUCUGGUGCCAGCAGCCGCGGUAAUUCCANNCUCCAAUAGCGUAUAUUAAAGUUGUUGCAGUUAAAAAGCUCGUAGUCGAAACAGGGGCUAGAAGAAAUGAUUCGGUCGACGAUGGGAAACCGUUGUUGUACUAUCAUCUUCUAGUUUCAAUUAUUUGAUAAAUGCAGCCUUAUGUAAUUUAUUUUAUGUAGGGAUUUGCUUUAUCUAUUUUACUUUGAGAAAAUUAGAGUGUUUAAGGCAAGUAAUUUUUUACGCUUGAAUACUACAGCAUGGGAUAAUAAAAUAUGAUUUAGAGAUAUCGUAUUUGUUGGUUUUUAUAUCUUUAGAUAAUGAUUAAUAGAAACGAUCGGGGGUAUUUGUAUUUAAAAGUCAGAGGUGAAAUUCGUAGAUUUUUUAAAGACAAACUAAAGCGAAAGCAUUUACCAAGGGCGUUUUCAUUGAUCAAGAACGAAAGUUAAGGGAUCGAAGAUGAUUAGAUACCGUCGUAGUCUUAACCAUAAACUAUGCCGAUCAUGGAUAAGGAUAAAAGUUUUAUUUAGAUGGGGUAACUCAUCUAACAGACGAUCCUUGGACAUUGUGAGAAAUCAUUGAAUUUUUGGGUUCCGGGGGGAGUAUGGUCGCAAGGCUGAAACUUAAACGAAUUGACGGAAGGGCACCACCAGGAGUGGAGCCUGCGGCUUAACUUGACUCAACACGGGGAAACUCACCAGGUCCAGACAUAGUAAGGAUUGACAGAUUGAUAGCUCUUUCUUGAUUCUAUGGGUGGUGGUGCAUGGCCGUUCUUAGUUGGUGGAGUGAUUUGUCUGGUUAAUUCCGUGAACGAACGAGACCUCAGCCUAUUAAAUAGAUGUGCUAAAGAAUUACUGGUUGAAGCCGGUAGUGAUGUAGUUUGGCUUACGGGUCAAUCUGCCAUUGCUGGUGGAACCUUAUUCAUUUGGUAUCAAGAUGCCUUCGGGUAUUUUUUACUUCUUAGAGGGACUAUUGUGUGAUUAACCAAUGGAAGUUUGAGGCAAUAACAGGUCUGUGAUGCCCUUAGAUGUCUUGGGCUGCACGCGCGCUACACUGACUGUAUCAAAAAGUUUUUUGGUAAUUUAAGCUUGCUUAGGUUAUCAUUUCCUUUCUCGAUGGGGAUGGGUAAUCUUUUCGUAAAUUCAGUCGUGCUGGGGAUAGUUGAUUGCAAUUAUUCAACUUGAACGAGGAAUUCCUAGUAAGCGCGAUUCAUCAGAUCGCGUUGAUUUCGUCCCUGCCCUUUGUACACACCGCCCGUCGCUCCUACCGAUUGAAUGAUACGGUGAAAUAUUCGGAUGAGAUGAAUUAAGUUAAGGGGCAACUUUAAC
rnacentral:rRNA from 1 species